AUUGAACGCUGGCGGAAUGCUUUACACAUGCAAGUCGAACGGUAGAGGGGGCAACCCCUCGAGAGUGGCGAACGGGUGAGUAAUAUAUCGGAACGUGCCCAGUCGUGGGGGAUAACGUAGCGAAAGUUACGCUAAUACCGCAUACGAUCUAAGGAUGAAAGCGGGGGAUCGCAAGACCUCGCGCGAUUGGAGCGGCCGAUAUCAGAUUAGGUAGUUGGUGGGGUAAAGGCUCACCAAGCCAACGAUCUGUAGCUGGUCUGAGAGGACGACCAGCCACACUGGAACUGAGACACGGUCCAGACUCCUACGGGAGGCAGCAGUGGGGACUCUUGGACAAUGGACGCAAGUCUGAUCCAGCCAUUCCGCGUGCAGGAUGAAGGCCCUCGGGUUGUAAACUGCUUUUGUACGGAACGAAAAGGUCUCUCUUAAUACGGGGGGCUCAUGACGGUACCGUAAGAAUAAGCACCGGCUAACUACGUGCCAGCAGCCGCCGUAA
rnacentral:rRNA from 1 species